rnacentral:rRNA from 1 species
AGGGUUUGAUCAUGGCUCAGAUUGAACGCUGGCGGCAGGCCUAACACAUGCAAGUCGAGCGGUAGAGAGAAGCUUGCUUCUCUUGAGAGCGGCGGACGGGUGAGUAAUGCCUAGGAAUCUGCCUGGUAGUGGGGGAUAACGUUCGGAAACGGACGCUAAUACCGCAUACGUCCUACGGGAGAAAGCAGGGGACCUUCGGGCCUUGCGCUAUCAGAUGAGCCUAGGUCGGAUUAGCUAGUUGGCGAGGUAAUGGCUCACCAAGGCGACGAUCCGUAACUGGUCUGAGAGGAUGAUCAGUCACACUGGAACUGAGACACGGUCCAGACUCCUACGGGAGGCAGCAGUGGGGAAUAUUGGACAAUGGGCGAAAGCCUGAUCCAGCCAUGCCGCGUGUGUGAAGAAGGACUUCGGAUUGUAAAGCACUUUAAGUUGGGAGGAAGGGUUGUAGAUUAAUACUCUGCAAUUUUGACGUUACCGACAGAAUAAGCACCGGCUAACUCUGUGCCAGCAGCCGCGGUAAUACAGAGGGUGCAAGCGUUAAUCGGAAUUACUGGGCGUAAAGCGCGCGUAGGUGGUUUGUUAAGUUGGAUGUGAAAUCCCCGGGCUCAACCUGGGAACUGCAUUCAAAACUGACUGACUAGAGUAUGGUAGAGGGUGGUGGAAUUUCCUGUGUAGCGGUGAAAUGCGUAGAUAUAGGAAGGAACACCAGUGGCGAAGGCGACCACCUGGACUAAUACUGACACUGAGGUGCGAAAGCGUGGGGAGCAACAGGAUUAGAUACCCUGUAGUCCACGCCGUAACGAUGUCAACUAGCCGUUGGAAGCCUUGAGCUUUUAGUGCGCAGCUAACGCAUUAAGUUGACCGCCU